rnacentral:misc_RNA from 1 species
GUGAAUCAUCGAAUUUUUGAACGCAUAUUGCACUCUCUGGUAUUCCGGAGAGUAUGCCUAUUUGAGGGUCAUUUGAAAUAAUAUAAAUUCCAUGAUUUCUCGGUAUUUAAAAUGGGUUGUUCCUUUUUUGUGGUGGCCUAAAAUCAAAUACAACCUAAUUUUCUUGGGUUGCGUGAUACUUUCAGUUAUCACU